rnacentral:rRNA from 1 species
AUCGAACGCUGGCGGCAGGCCUAACACAUGCAAGUCGAACGAGUGGCGGACGGGUGAGUAAUGCCUGGGAAACUGCCCGAUGGCGGGGGAUAACUACUGGAAACGGUAGCUAAUACCGCAUACCAUCGGAUGUUCCCAGAUGGGAUCAGCUAGUAGGGGGGGUAACGGCUCACCUAGGCGACGAUCCCUAGCUGGCCUGAGAGGAUGACCAGCCCCAUUGGAACUGGGACACGGUCCAGACUCCUCCGGGAGGCAGCAGUGGGGAAUAUUGCACAAUGGGCGCAAGCCUGAUGCAGCCAUGCCGCGUGUAUGAAAAAGGCCUUCGGGUUGUAAAGUACUUUCAGCGAGGAGGCGUUACUCGCAGAAGAAGCACCGGCUAACUCCGUGCCAGCCGCCGCGGUAAUUC